ACUAGGAUGUUUCUUGUCACCUCUCAAGAUCGCUAUCGAGAGUCACUCAGUGAAAUGUGUGAAACUACUGGUAAAGGCUGGCGCGGAUGUGAAGGGCAUCCGUAAUGUGACCCCCUUGCUUGCUGCUGCAAGACAUGACCUAACUGACGCCCUUAAGUGCCUACUGGAUGCUGGGGCAGAUCCCAAUGUUAAAGAUGAAUUUGGUCACUUGCCAAUACAUUUGGCGGCAUAUUUUGGUACACGCAAAG